UCUAAUGGAAAAAAAACUAAUUAUAAAAUAUUAUUAGGAUUACUUUUCCCUUGCUUUUGAAUAGCAUUUCUCAAGUUUGCAGUAUACCAUUAUUCUAGUAUCUUUAGUGCCUAUUUGUAAAUGUAAAUGUAAUAGGUAACUUAACUUAAAGCCACUACUGUCCUUUAGCAAAACACUAAUUGGCAAAUUGUAUCUGCAUUAUCAUACCAGUAUGUAAUAUAGCUCCUGAAAAUGAACUGAAAUCGAAUUCCAGCACUGGUAAGGCACUCCCAAGAAGAUAAUAUCACACUGAAAAUAUGCCUUAAAUUUCCCCAAAUUCAAUUUCUCAACAUUUUUUUCUCAUAGUGUCCAUAUACCUUUGAAUUCUUUACCCUUAAUUAGUACAGUACAAAUCAAACCUAUUACCAUUUAUUAGUGAUUUUAAAACUUUACAGGGAGAGAAGCUUCAAAAAUUUUGUUAAAUAAUUCUGAACCCAGAAUCUAAGAACUUUAAAAAUACUUUUUGAUUGUUUAAAAAAGUUUUGAUCGUUGCUGACAGCAGAACAUAUAAAGUAUUGCUAUUUAGCUUUCUGGCAGUAAGUACUACUUAUGCUUUUAAAAAUGAUGUAGUUGUUUUAUAUAAUUAUUAUGCUAAAUUUAGUGAAAAGCCUUGAUCUGUCCUUGAACAGUUUUACACACAUACACACACAAACAUAAUGGCAAAUAAAAAUAAAUUGAUUUUUAAAUCUACAGAUGAUCACCAUUAGCCCUUUACUCUUAAAUAACAUUAAUGGGAUAAAUUGGUACAUAAUAUAUUUGUUCAGUUCAUUGUAGCUUCACUAGUCAUUGAUGUUUUUAUUAGUGUACAUUUUCCUCCAUGCAUAAGUUAAGCCAAAGUUAAACCUAGAUAUUCCAUUUUAAGUAAAAAUAGACUGAGUGACAUUUUUAGAUUUCUCCAAGUACUAUCUUUUGAAGUUCUUUUCUGUGGUAUAUGCUGCAGGGGCCAUUGGUCUGGAUGCUUGACUCCUGAGGAAACUGGAACCCUCAAAGAUUCCCAGAACCACCUUCAAGGUUUUCAUUAAAAAUUGCUAAAACCUUGGCUGAAAUCCAGAUACACCGUGUCUACAGCAUUCUCCUGUUCAGUCUAGCAGCCUUGUCGAAAAAGGAGAUGAGGUUAAACAACCCCAGUUCCUUUAAUUCACUGUCAUAUGGCAUGGUCUCCCAUCCUCUUCUCAUACUGGUUGCUCUCUCUGGAUGGACUUCAGGUUGUUAUUAUCUUCCCCUAAAUGUAGCGCCAAAUACAAUACUUGAGACGUGUGGUAUGACCAGGGUAGAAUCCAGCACAACUUCCCUCUCCCUCUUUCUGGAUACACUGCUAAUAAAACCUAAGAUAGCAUUAGAUUUUGUUACUGCCUUGUCAUACUAUUGACUUAUAUUGAAUGUGCUUUUCUUAAAAAUCCACAGAUCAUUUUCAUGUGAACUGUUGUCUAAACAUAUCUCCCGUAUCUUAUACUUGUGAAAUUGUUUGUUUUUUUCUAAACAAACUUUGGGAUUUGUCUCAUUUGGCAUUUUGUCUCAGUAAACUUGCUUGGUUGUUCUCCUUGA